rnacentral:rRNA from 1 species
GACGAACGCUGGCGGCGUGCUUAACACAUGCAAGUCGAACGGUGAAGCGCCUUCCUUUUUGGUGGGUGUGGAUGAGUGGCGAACGGGUGAGUAACACGUGAGUAACCUGCCCCCUUCUUCUGGAUAACCGCAUGAAAGUGUGGCUAGUACGGGAUAUUCUGGGUCUGUCGCAUGAUGGGUCUGGGAAAGAUAUUGUUUCGGUGGGGGAUGGGCUCGCGGCCUAUCAGCUUGUUGGUGGGGUGAUGGCCUACCAAGGCGGUGACGGGUAGCCGGCCUGAGAGGGUGGACGGUCACACUGGGACUGAGACACGGCCCAGACUCCUACGGGAGGCAGCAGUGGGGAAUAUUGCACAAUGGGCGCAAGCCUGAUGCAGCGACGCCGCGUGGGGGAUGGAGGCCUUCGGGUUGUGAACCUCUUUCGCCAGUGAAGCAGGCCUGCCUCGUUUGUGGGUGGGUUGACGGUAGCUGGAUAAGAAGCGCCGGCUAACUACGUG